rnacentral:rRNA from 1 species
GAGUUUGAUCCUGGCUCAGAUUAACGCUGGCGGCAGGCCUAACACAUGCAAGUCGAGCGGCAGCGGGAAAGUAGCUUGCUACUUUUGCCGGCGAGCGGCGGACGGGUGAGUAAUGCCUGGGGAUCUGCCCAGUCGAGGGGGAUAACUACUGGAAACGGUAGCUAAUACCGCAUACGCCCUACGGGGGAAAGCAGGGGACCUUCGGGCCUUGCGCGAUUGGAUGAACCCAGGUGGGAUUAGCUAGUUGGUGAGGUAAUGGCUCACCAAGGCGACGAUCCCUAGCUGGUCUGAGAGGAUGAUCAGCCACACUGGAACUGAGACACGGUCCAGACUCCUACGGGAGGCAGCAGUGGGGAAUAUUGCACAAUGGGGGAAACCCUGAUGCAGCCAUGCCGCGUGUGUGAAGAAGGCCUUCGGGUUGUAAAGCACUUUCAGCGAGGAGGAAAGGUUGGUAGCUAAUAACUGCCAGCUGUGACGUUACUCGCAAAGAAGCACCGGCUAACUCCGUGCCAGCAGCCGCGGUAAUAC